rnacentral:rRNA from 1 species
CCCUUAGAUGUUCUGGGCCGCACGCGCGCUACACUGAUGCAUUCAACGAGUCUAAAACCUGGUCUGAUAGGGCUGGGUAAUCUUUUGAAUGUGCAUCGUGAUUGGGAUAGAUGAUUGCAAUUCUUCAUCUUCAACGAGGAAUGCCUAGUAAACGCAAGUCAUCAGCUUGCAUUGAUUACGUCCCUGCCCUUUGUACACACCGCCCGUCGCUCCUACCGAUUGAAUGUUCCGAUGAAUACCAUGGACUGAGAGUAUGAAUGGGUUCGCCUAUUUCUGCUUCUCGGGAAGUGGAGUAAAUCUUAACAUUUAGAGGAAGGAGAAGUCGUAACA